CCCGGGAAAGCUCGCACGGGGCCCGGGAGCGAACCCACAGACAAAAAGUGAAACUUCGACAGGGCUGGAGCGACUGCUGAUUACCCAUUUGGCUGCAGCUUAUGACUUGAACCACUGAGAAGGCUCAGGAUUUCCUUCCUUUCAGCAGAGCAAACUGUUCAGAGACCAUGUAAUUGUCAGCAGUCAAAAAGGAGAUUGAAUUUCUGAAGACUUCAUUGGUCCAACAAUGGCAUGGGCAUGGCACAGGCCUGAAAACUUCCCAAGGAGAAAUUUCAUGGGUCAUUUCCUGGUGACAUGUGACAAACUGGAAUCCUAAAAGGAACUUUGAACAUUAGAGACCAAGUGAGUACACAGGCUGAUAAGGUUAGUAAUAAUAGAUGAAAAAUUCACUUAUUUUCCCUUUCUUUCUGACUUCUUUGUAUUUUGGUUUCUCAAUUGCAUCCUUCAUAAGCUAUACUUAUAUAAAUUCUAGGGAGUUGGAAAACCAAGUGUAAUAUCUUCAAGUAAAAAUGUACAUGACAACAGUGGGUAUGUUUACAAAGAUGGACAUGAUAGUCUCUCACCCACCCCUCUAUGCACCUUUGCAACACAAUUUUGUUAUUCCUCUUAACAAAAAGAGGCAUCCACUUAUGGACUCUGUGAAUCUAGGCUACUUUCGAAACUUGCUUCAAACCAGUAGAAGAACAUGGCAUGUGAGGUUUUAGCCACUUGUGAGCCUCAGGAAGCAGCUUCUGCUCUUAACUUGUAAAAAAGCCUGAGCUAACUGGCUGCAUGCUGGCGACACAUGGCUGAGCUAACAGUCAUUACCAAUGUGCUCCAAGUGGACUGCCCAGUUGUUUGAAUUUACGUGGGUAUACCACGGCCAGUUCAUCACAAUAGCUACCCAGAUGCACUCAGACCAAGGGAAUUGUGAGCUAAUCAAUGACUACUUUAAGUUAUUGAAUCUUUGGACUGGAUUUUUAUGUAACUAAGACUAACCACUUUACCUAAUGCUUGCCAUUGAAAGAAAA